CCUAUAAUUUCAUUUUCGACCAUUAAAUUUCAUUCAGAAGUAGAAAAUGAAUUUUAAUGAAAUAGUAACCUAGAUACAUAAUGCCAUCAAUUAUCAUUAAAGGAAUUCGAGUGCAAUAAUCCCAAAGUCUGUAAAUAUGAAUGGAAACAUUUUCAUUUAUUGUCUUUUUUUUCUCUUUCAGAACAGGUUUAGGAUGACUGGCCACGUGUCCCCACGUGGCAGAUUUUUUACAUUGAAGCACGCAAUAGCUCAAAUGCAGAUGUUGGUAGUUCUACAGAGAAGGACCUGAGAGCAGAAUCUUUUACGGCUUUUUGUUCGCACAAAACAUUCUAGUCAACAGAAGACAAUGAAAACGCAUGGACAUCUGUCGACGUCUGCACACGCCAGGUGGUCAGUAGCUAAGCAACCGUUGCAUAGUUACCCCCAGGUGAUGAAGAAAGGUGGGCCAAACUUCCUCGGAUUCUAUUAAACGAAGCCCUACUCAGUAUUAACCUUUAAAAGAUAAACAGAUUUUAUUUACGAGAAGUAGGAAAGGCCUUUUCUCCUGUCAAAAUUUCGUGAACCAUCAAAUAUUCUUAAAAAUAUCAGAUGGAAUAUUCAGAAUUAAUUAUGAUUUUUACAUAAUUUUAUACGUAAUUAAGCGCCAACGAAUAGCAAAAUGACAGGCUGAUAACAAUAUAGAUUAAAACAUAUUAUUAUUGUUAUUAUUAACUUCGUCUAUUAGGAGGCAGCUCUUUUGCCUCUGGAAAGCGGCUGUGGAUGUAAGGGUCAUUAAAGAAAGGAAUUUUACCUAAGAGGGCACCUCUUGUGAUCUCCAGGAAGGCAAAGUAUUUGCAGGUUUUCACGGAACAUGAUUACGAACGUUAAUCGAACAGGAUGAUAGAAUGUAACAAAGAGCGUUGCAGUCACAGUUCUGAUUUUCGACCACCUGGAAAUUUCCAACAUGCUUGGUUGAAAAAAUAAGAAGCAAGAUCUCAGUCCUUGAGAAAAAUGACCUAUUGCGUCACUUUGUAAGUUGCGGAUCGUCUUCGUUUGUAUAAGUAGUCUCUACACUUAUUAUAUAUACUUUUAAG